UUUGUGUGGGUGAGUGCGAGUCACUUCCUUGGAAGCUUCUUGCUGCUUCUGACAGGCUUUGCUAGGCCCUGCAAGUGUGCUGGGGAGGGAGUGACCAGCCUCCAGGGUCUUCUGCCUUUGUCCUCAGCAGUCUAAGGGCACUCAAGGGAAGGAAACGCUGGGUGCAUCCUCUCUGGAACGGAAUGAAUUGUUUUAAUGUCUGAGGUCUGGCCACACUUAGCAUCUGUGAAAGCAACUUGCUUUCAGACCACGUGGAGCAUACCUGGCCGAGGUCUCAGAUCACGUGCAUUAGCUGAGGAAUUGUAGCUAAAGCAAACUAGAAGCUGCACACUGUGGCUAUCAGGGUUAGAUUAAUGCGUUAUUGAGGUUGUGUGAGUUAGAGUGUAUACUUGAGCCGUCUGUGAUCUUUGCAGUAUAAAAGCUGUUUCCCCAAAAACACUUAAGAAGGAGACGUACAGAGAGGCAGAGGCAGGCAGAUUUCUGUGAGUUCUAGGCCAGCCCUGUCUACAUAGUGCCAGGAGGAAUUACAUAGUGACACCCUGUCUUAGAAAUGGGGGAUGGGAGAAAGCAACAGUCCUACAUUAUGUUGUCACGCACAUAAAAUGGCUAACCAUGAAAAUGUCUACGACUUGGUGAUAUGAUUGGUAUACCAAAAAUGGAUUUGUUUUUAAAGCAAAGUAUUCCAGACAGUGAUAGCCAACUGACAGCCCCCUCACAGAUGUCAGGGCAAGAAUACGUUCUCGUGUUUCUGUCCCCAACUCGCGGCCUCAGACAGCUGCAGAUACAUGUCCCAUGUGGCUCCAGCCUCUGAGACACCAAAUGGAAAUUUACUGGGGCUCCCUCCCAGCCAGACUCUCACAGACUGGCCUGUCUCACGGGCCUCUCCACAGGGCCAGCUAUUUUAUGAGAACGGGCAUUCCCAGUUGAUUGGGUUGACAAAACGAAACCAAGGAACUGUGUCUUAAAACUGACGUAUCCUGCUUAAUUGUACACAGGGGACACUACUCCAAAGCAGGAGUUGGACAAAUCUGAGUCUUUUAGGGCUGGGGACUGAACCCUGGGCCUGGAUAUGCCAGGCAACACCCUACCAACUGAACGUUCUUCCAGAAAUCCCAGGUUCCAUUCCCAGUAUCCACAUGGAAGAUUACAACCGUCUGUACCUCCAGCUCCAGGGAAUCAGACCCCUCACACAGACGCACAUGCGAGCAAAACACCAAUGCACAUAAAGUUAAAUAAAUCAUUAAAAAUAAAAGGCA